UAAGUCCAUUUUGGCGACCUCUCUGUGCGCAAAAACAAGUACAUUUCCAAGCGCAGCGCGGCGGCUUUUACGCAGCGACGGGGGAGCGAGCGGUGGUGCACAUUUCCAGCAAAAAGCAGUUCUUGCGAUGGAAGAACUAAAUGAUGCGAACAGAACAUCUGUUGAACACAGCUCGAAUGAAUCCUCCUGAGGUGGAAAACUGCUGCUGAGAUUUACCAAAUCAUAUCAGUCAACCCAAUGUUAACAUGUAUUUACAUUUUCUAUAAGGAAUCCUACUAAUCCAUGCCGAUGCUUUAGCAUCUCUUCAAACAAGGUCUCCAUCUACUUUCCUUUAGUUUCUGAGAUUGAGAUUUUUCUGCCUUACGUGGUCCAAUCCCAGUUUGAAAUGAUGGACCUGCCGAUAUAAUACGUACCGACCACCAACACCAAGUAAACAAC